UAACACAUGCAAGUCGAACGGUAGCACAGAGGAGCUUGCUCCUUGGGUGACGAGUGGCGGACGGGUGAGUAAUGUCUGGGAAACUGCCCGAUGGAGGGGGAUAACUACUGGAAACGGUAGCUAAUACCGCAUAACGUCGCAAGACCAAAGAGGGGGACCUUCGGGCCUCUUGCCAUCGGAUGUGCCCAGAUGGGAUUAGCUAGUAGGUGGGGUAACGGCUCACCUAGGCGACGAUCCCUAGCUGGUCUGAGAGGAUGACCAGCCACACUGGAACUGAGACACGGUCCAGACUCCUACGGGAGGCAGCAGUGGGGAAUAUUGCACAAUGGGCGCAAGCCUGAUGCAGCCAUGCCGCGUGUAUGAAGAAGGCCUUCGGGUUGUAAAGUACUUUCAGCGAGGAGGAAGGCGUUGUGGUUAAUAACCGCAGCGAUUGACGUUACUCGCAGAAGAAGCACCGGCUAACUCCGUGCCAGCAGCCGCGGUAAUACGGAGGGUGCAAGCGUUAAUCGGAAUUACUGGGCGUAAAGCGCACGCAGGCGGUCUGUCAAGUCGGAUGUGAAAUCCCCGGGCUCAACCUGGGAACUGCAUCCGAAACUGGCAGGCUAGAGUCUUGUAGAGGGGGUAGAUUCCAGGUGUAGCGGUGAAAUGCGUAGAGAUCUGGAGGAAUAC
rnacentral:rRNA from 1 species